AUGGACGAUCACUCAGAGAGAGAGAGAGCGCGCGAGCUGGCGAUGCCCCCUGCACUGCUUCUCUCCCCAAGCGGCUACAAUGAAUGGCCAGCGCUGGGCCAGGCAGGAGGCAGGAGACAGGAGGCAGUUGGCAGGAGGCAGGAGGCAGGAGGUCCAUUGAGGACUCCCACGAGGCAGGGAGGUGGGGUCCAGAGAACCUGGGCCAUCAGCAUCUGUGUCCCUGGUAGCAGCCUGGAGAGGCUGGAGUGGAAGCGGCCCUGGGGCUUAGGACGCUGGAUGCAGCAGUGUGCAGAUGCGUCCUGGGGUGCCAUGGUGACAGCCCAUGUGGAGUGCGCCUGCGCUUGGUGCUAUGACCCGGAAGUGCACCCACACGCUUGGCGCCAACUGCCCCGCGGUGCUCCGCUGGGAGUCAGCGCCGCAUCUGCUUCUGCCCGAAGCCUGCACAAGCCACACGGAGAGGAGCCGUCCUCGACGCAGCUGGCUGAGCUUGAGGGAGACCCAGCAACCCCAGGGUCAGGCCAGCAUCAGAGAGGCUGUAUGUGCGAGGCUGCCGCACCGUUUCCCAGAGCACCCGUGCAAGCCGUGAGGAGAGGAGCCUUCUUCGACGCUGCUGGCCGAGCCUGAGCCUGAGGGAGACCCAGCGGCCCCCGGGUCAGGCCGGCAUCAGGAGAGGCUGCGUGUGGAGGCUGCCGUGGCAUUUCCCAGGCGCGUUUCUAUUCUUCGGCCCCUUCGGAAAGCAACGGGCUUCGUGGACCUCUGUCCCGCCGGCAGACCGUCCCCCCCCUCCCCCCUGCCUUGGAGGUGAGUGACGCGCGGCUGUUGCAGUGUCCCGCUGGGGAUCUUGGCUGCAGGCGUGCCUGUUGCUCUUGGGUCCCGAAGGCGUGGGUGGGGUCACAGUCGUGCAGUGCGGACGGUCUGGAAGGGUCCCCAGGGUGCAGGCAGCUGUGUGAGAGCAGAGGUGGCUGGGUCUCCUCCCGGAACGGCCUUGUGUUCUUGUCUGCUUUUCGAGGGCCCAGCCAGGAAAGGUAGGGUCCACCCUCUCAGGGGCCUUUACAAGUGUCCCUAUGCUUUCCACUAUCCCAGGUCCACACCCCUGAACUAUAUGACGGAGGUGAAGCCUCAGGAUUGUUGGCCAAUGGGCGGAGUGGGGGAGUGGACGUUAGGAGUCCGCCCUCAGUCCCGGCCCCAUGUCGUGCGUUGUAACCCACUCAGCCUGCCAUGCUGCCCCAGGCACAGAGGCCAGUUUUCGUGUCCAGACUGCCAUGCUGUGGGGCAAGACAGCACACUGGUGGGAGCUGCCCUUCCCUCCUCUGAGAGGGAGGCCUUGGACAGGAAGCUCCGCCACAGAGUGGGGGUGUGCUCUGUUUUGUGAGCUGUGUUGCCUCUUCCUGAACUCGUGACAUGUUCUGCCUAGGAGGGCUGGGUCUGGGGGCCUGUGUUUUUAUCCAAGACUAAUUUUCAUGCACAGAUACACAUUCACUUACUUUAAUGUGCUUGCCAGCUUUUGCUUUUGUGCUGUUCUCCUAAGUUUUCCCUGCUUGGAAAGAUAAGGAAUUAGGACAAACGUGAUGUCCUUGCUCUGUAAUUCUUCAGCCUCUAAUGUUUUUCUUCUCCUUGUCCAAGU
ensembl:lncRNA